rnacentral:sRNA from 1 species
AAAGAAGGAGUAUAUGUUAUAGUAAACAAUCCAAUUGUUAACGAGCUAGAGACAAAAAAGGUCGGUUCAAAAAAGGGUUCACUAGUUUUUCCACUGGCUGUGACAUAAAUAACAGCAUUGAUGUGAACAAUAAUGAAACUCAGACAUGAUGAUGUAAAGUCUGGUUUGGAGUUGGAGUUGUAAUGAUAGUGAAGAACUUUCUCGAUCUAAAUAUACCAAUAUGUUUGAUCGGCGAAGGAACGUAGAGUUUUCAGUUUUGGUUGAUCAUCUAGAGCGGGGAUGUGUUGUGUGCCAUAAACCACUAAAUUUAGCAAAGUGUGUAAAAGAAAAACAGUAUAGCCUUGCGAUCUUAUUGUACAUAGAGUGUACCUGCUGCAAGGAGUUGACUAUUGUACCAACAGGGAAGAGACACAACAUUGGUAAACAUAAACCAAUACUAUUUGCUCAUAACUGCAGAAAUUCGAUAGUGUUGUUCUAUGCAGAGUAAUUAGAAAAUGCUCUAAUAUACCACUGCAAGACUGCAUUAUUGGAUUUUGUGAUACUCUGCCUAUGUAGAAAAAUCAUGCAUCUUGUAAUACCACAAAAUGAACUCUGGAGACCCCAUGUGCUAGAAAUUCCAGGCUGUACCUUCGAGGCACAUGAUGCAGUUGAAGACUGUACGUAUCUACAGAAACUUGUCGAACAUCACAGUACAUAUUCCUAUAUUUUGAACUAUACUUUCAGUAUGGAUUAUAUUAUGCAAGUUGUACUCCAGAUGGAAGACUCUAAAUCUAACUUGCAAACAUUGAUUCCCUUGCUAACAAACAAAACAGUGUCUGAGAGCAUGGUGAAAAAUGUCUCUCCCUGACCUUUCAAUGCAUCAUUUGCAGUUAGCGUACCAAAGAAGAGGCUUUGAUGGUGUACAAAAUGUACUGAGUGAAUGUUGUCAUGGAAAACCAAGGGUAACAAAGCGCAGGAACAUUAUUACAUCUGUUGUUGACUUUUUGAAAGAAAGAUACAUUUAUGUAACUCUUUCUCAUACAUAUUGUAAAGAUAUUUUCUUUUAUUUCCAUGAUUAUAAUACUGGAUACAGCACAUUUUUAUUUAUUUAUUUUACAUAUACAUAUCUACUGAUUGUUUUUAUGUGCAGCAAUCAAUUGUAAUCAUUCUCUACUGAAUAAAAAUUACCAAAAC